rnacentral:sRNA from 1 species
UACUUGCCCGCGCUAGGGAUUGUAGCGGCAUCCUUUUUUUGCUGCCAUAAAUGGCAAAAAAAGAUAUAGUGUAAAGCCCGACCCUUU